AAAGUUUUGGUCCUGGGCUUGCCGUUGUUUUUUUUCAAGAUUAUACAUGCAAGUCUCAGCACACCAGUGAAAAUGCCCACAACCCCUAAAAAGAAAUACUGGAGCAGACAUCAGGCACUACCUUUCAAGCCCAUGACGUCUUGCCAUGCCACACCCCCACGGGCUAACCAGCAGUAAUAAACAUUGGGCUAUGAGUGUAAACUUGACCCAACUAUGAUCAACAGGGCUGGUUAAUUUCGUGCCAGCCACCGCGGUUAUACGAAAAGCCCAAAACAACAGCAAACGGCGUAAAAUGUGACUAGAGACUUUUAAUAUUAUAAAUAUUAUAAACCUACUAACUAGUUGUAGAACACUUAAAUAAUAGAGGAAAACCAACAAAAUAUUUUAAUAUUAUUACCUUGACCACACGAAAGCUUAGAUACAAACUAGGAUUAGAUACCCUACUAUGCUAAGCCCUAAACAUUGAUAGCUACCAUACAAAGCUAUCCGCCAGAGAACUACAAGUGAAAAACUUGAAACUCAAAGGACUUGACGGUGUCCCAUAUCAACCUAGAGGAGCCUGUCCUAUAAUCGAUACCCCUCGCUCUACCUUACCUUGACUAGCAAAACUCAGCCUAUAUACCGCCGUCGACAGCCUACCCUAUGAAGGUCUAACAGUAGACACAAUAGCCACACCGCUAGUACGUCAGGUCAAGGUGUAGCAAAUGUUAAGGAAGUGAUUGGCUACAUUUUUUAAUUUUUAAAAAACACGGAAUGCACCAUGAAACCGCUCAUGAAGGUGAAUUUAGUAGUAAAGCAGAUAAGAGUAUCUACUUUAACAAUGCUCUGGGACGCGUACACACCGCCCGUCACCCUCCUUGAUUAAUCACUUUAACUCUUUAUAAACCCUAAAAUAAAUUUAAAGGAGGUAAGUCGUAACAUGGUAAGCGUACCGGAAGGUGUGCUUGGAACUU
rnacentral:ncRNA from 1 species